rfam:Gorilla gorilla gorilla genomic chromosome, chr20, whole genome shotgun sequence
GCCGGGCGUGGUGGCUCAAGCCUGUAAUCCCAGCACUUUGGGAGGCUGAGAUGGGUGGAUCACCUGAGGUCAGGAGUUCGAGACCAGCCUGGCCAACAUGGUGAAACCCCAUCUCUA